UGGAGUAUAUCCAAGUAGUAAAGCAUUGGUUUUUGGUAUCGGCAUACAAAGGUUCAAAUCCUUUUACUUCAG
rnacentral:tRNA from 1 species